AGUGAACGCUGGCGGUAGGCCUAACACAUGCAAGUCGAACGGCAGCACAGUAAGAGCUUGCUCUUACGGGUGGCGAGUGGCGGACGGGUGAGGAAUACAUCGGAAUCUACUUUUUCGUGGGGGAUAACGUAGGGAAACUUACGCUAAUACCGCAUACGACCUACGGGUGAAAGCAGGGGAUCUUCGGACCUUGCGCGAUUGAAUGAGCCGAUGUCGGAUUAGCUAGUUGGCGGGGUAAAGGCCCACCAAGGCGACGAUCCGUAGCUGGUCUGAGAGGAUGAUCAGCCACACUGGAACUGAGACACGGUCCAGACUCCUACGGGAGGCAGCAGUGGGGAAUAUUGGACGAAGGGCGCAAGCCUGAUCCAGCCAUACCGCGUGGGUGAAGAAGGCCUUCGGGUUGUAAAGCCCUUUUGUUGGGAAAGAAAAGCAGCGGGUUAAUACCCCGCUGUUCUGACGGUACCCAAAGAAUAAGCACCGGCUAACUUCGUG
rnacentral:rRNA from 1 species